rnacentral:tRNA from 1 species
GGCCUUGGGGUGUAACACGUAGGGUUGCAAACCCUAAGACGCAGGUAGUACCUGCCGGGGCUU